rnacentral:rRNA from 1 species
UACGUAGGGACCGAGCGUUGUCCGGAAUCAUUGGGCGUAAAGAGCUCGUAGGCGGUCUGUCGCGUCUGCUGUGAAAACUCAGGGCUUAACCCUGAGCUUGCAGUGGGUACGGGCAGACUAGAGUGCGGUAGGGGAGACUGGAAUUCCUGGUGUAGCGGUGAAAUGCGCAGAUAUCAGGAGGAACACCGGUGGCGAAGGCGGGUCUCUGGGCCGUAACUGACGC